rnacentral:lncRNA from 1 species
GUCCCAAAAGUAAUAUCCUCCAGCUUUCCCUGAGGCACCCCGGAGGCCAAGGCAAAUCGUCGGGCAUAUUGUUUUCUUCCAUUGUUGGAGUCUCCUCCCGAGGCAAUACCUCCAAUGAUGAUAUUGAUGGUUCCAGCAGUGGGUUGACCAUCCUUCUUUGCCUCAGGGUCUUUUUCCCUACCACGAUCAUUCCUCGGGCGUUUGUCGUUACCGACGUAGGAGCUCAGGAGUCCUCUUUUAAUAAGGGCUUCAAUCUCCCGUUGCAGGGCUUUACAGUUCUCCGUGGUAUGCCCGUGAUCCCGAUGGAACUCACAGUACUUGUUCAUGUCCCUGGAUUCGGGUGGUGACCUCAUUCUGACAGGCCAUUUCAGUUCCUUCAUAUCCUUGAUCUCCAUCAAUAUAUUGGUCUUUGACGUAUUUAAACGUGUGAACGGCGUCGGGAGAACCUCCUGUCUCUGUUUUUUCCGAUGCUGUUCUUCACGAGGGUUCGGGUCAUGCUGUCUUUUAUGCUCGACCUUGUCAUGGGAUGGUCCAACCUUUCUCGGGUUCAGUGUUUCCUCCAUAUUUAUGUACUUUUCGGCUCGGGUAAGAAGCUCGGUCACUGUCUUUGGUGGAGUUUUGGAUAAAGACAUCUUGAAGGCCUCACAUUUUAUGGCAUAUGUGAGGGCAGAAACCGCUGCAGUUAUGUGUAGGUCGGGAAUCUGAAGUCUUUCCUUGUUGAACCUGGUCAUGAAGUCGCGUAGGGUCUCAUUUUGCCCUUGUCUAAGUUGCAUGAGGGAAGCUGCUGUCUUCCUGAUGCGUUUGCUGCUUGCGAAGAAAGCAGAGAACUUGUCCGCCAAAUCCGAGAAUGAGGCUAUGGAGUUGGACUCUAAGGUUGAGAACCAAUCCCUAGCAGCAUUCGUCAAAGUUUGCGGGAAGGCCUUGCACAUCACCUGAUCUGGUGCAACCUGUAGAUUCAUGACGUCCGUGUAUACGUUCAGAUGAUUGAUUGGAUCGGUG